AACGUACGCUGGCGGCAGGCUUAACACAUGCAAGUCGAACGCCCCGCAAGGGGAGUGGCAGACGGGUGAGUAACACGUGGGAAUCUACCCAUCCCUACGGAACAACUCCGGGAAACUGGAGCUAAUACCGUAUACGCCCUUUUGGGGAAAGAUUUAUCGGGGAUGGAUGAGCCCGCGUCGGAUUAGCUAGUUGGUGGGGUAAAGGCCUACCAAGGCGACGAUCCGUAGCUGGUCUGAGAGGAUGAUCAGCCACACUGGGACUGAGACACGGCCCAGACUCCUACGGGGGGCAGCAGUGGGGAAUAUUGGACAAUGGGCGCAAGCCUGAUCCAGCCAUGCCGCGUGAGUGAUGAAGGCCUUAGGGUUGUAAAGCUCUUUCGCCAGGGACGAUAAUGACGGUACCUGGAUAAGAAGCCCCGGCUAACUUCGUGCCAGCCGCCGCCGUAAAAC
rnacentral:rRNA from 1 species